UGAGGAAUAUUGGUCAAUGGGCUCAAGCCUGAACCAGCCAUCCCGCGUGCAGGAUGACGGCCUUAUGGGUUGUAAACUGCUUUUCUACGCAAAGAACGGGUCUUACGUGUAAGGCAUUGACGGUAGUGUAGGAAUAAGCAUCGGCUAACUCCGUGCCAGCAGCCGCGGUAAUACGGAGGAUGCAAGCGUUAUCCGGAUUCAUUGGGUUUAAAGGGUGCGCAGGCGGAGAUAUAAGUCAGUGGUGAAAAGCUGCCGCUCAACGGUAGUCUUGCCAUUGAUACUGUUUCUCUUGAGUAUGGAUGAGGUAGGCGGAAUGUGCAGUGUAGCGGUGAAAUGCAUAGAUAUUGCACGGAACACCAAUUGCGAAGGCAGCUUACUGGGCCAUUACUGACGCUCAGGCACGAAAGCGUGGGGAUCAAACAGG
rnacentral:rRNA from 1 species